GAGUUUAACAUCACCUUGCACAGAUUUAAUGGCAAUUGUACCUUUCCCUUCAACUUUCAUCUGCUUGUCAUCUCCAAGUCGAACCUCACCCUUUUGUGACUCAUCAAGCUCUUUGAACAAUGAUUUGGUUCCAGACAUGUGGUUGGAGCAUCCACUGUCUAAAAACCAUACAUCUUUACUGUUGGCAUCAUUAUGAAUUGGUGAAUGAGCCAUGAACAACCUGCUCUCCUCUUCAAUCUUCUCUGUAAAAUUUGCUUGCUUUUGUUCUUCUCUCUGUUUGGUCCAACAAUUAGCUUCUUUGUGGCCCGG
rnacentral:misc_RNA from 1 species